rnacentral:rRNA from 1 species
GACGAACGCUGGCGGCGUGCCUAAUACAUGCAAGUCGAACGCACUCUCGUUUAGAUUGAAGGAGCUUGCUCCUGAUUGAUAAACAUUUGAGUGAGUGGCGGACGGGUGAGUAACACGUGGGUAACCUGCCCUAAAGUGGGGGAUAACAUUUGGAAACAGAUGCUAAUACCGCAUAAAACCUAACACCGCAUGGUGUAGGGUUGAAAGAUGGUUUCGGCUAUCACUUUAGGAUGGACCCGCGGUGCAUUAGUUAGUUGGUGAGGUAAAGGCUCACCAAGACCGUGAUGCAUAGCCGACCUGAGAGGGUAAUCGGCCACACUGGGACUGAGACACGGCCCAGACUCCUACGGGAGGCAGCAGUAGGGAAUCUUCCACAAUGGACGAAAGUCUGAUGGAGCAACGCCGCGUGAGUGAAGAAGGUUUCGAUCGUAAAACUCUGUUGUUGGAGAAGAAUGUAUCUGAUAGUAACUGAUCAGGUAGUGACGGUAUCCAACCAG